GAUGAAGAACGUAGCGAAAUGCGAUAAGUGAUGUGAAUUGCAGAAUUCAGUGAAUCAUCGAAUCUUUGAACGCACAUUGCGCCCGCCAGUAUUCUGGCGGGCAUGCCUGUUCGAACGUCAUUUCAACCCUCAGGUCCCCCUUUUCGGAGGGGGAGACACCCUGGUGUUGGGGGACGGCAUCCUGGCCCGCUGUCUCACAGUGUGCCACGCCGCCCCCGAAAUGAAUUGGCGGCCUCGUCGCGUGCCACCCCUGCGUAGUAGCACAACCUCGCAACGGGAGCCCGACGCGGCCACUGCCGUAAAACGCCCAACUUUUACCGAGUUGACCUCGAAUCAGGUAGGAAUACCCGCUGAACUUAAGCAUAUCAAUAGGCGGAGGA
rnacentral:misc_RNA from 1 species